rnacentral:lncRNA from 1 species
GGAUAGAUAUAGAGAGCCGAAACGCAAAAUCCCUAGAUCCCUAACGAACACUAUUCAAUCAUCUUUCUCACUCGAACCAAGCCCAAAUUCAGUCCAAAUUCAGGUGAGUGAAUCUCAAAUCCUUAACCUAGGCGUCCCUCCUUCUCUCAUCUUGUCGUUGCUAAUGGUUUCUGAUGACAAGAUUCCCUUCUCCUCUCACUCGCUCGAAUUUGUGUUAUAUCUCACGAUUGGAAGGUUCUGAGGACGAUAUGCUGGAUGAGUAUGAGGCGUUGGAUUAAUUUCACUCAAUUCGAGGCCAACAUUCAUCAAGGAUUCGUCUUCACAAGGAGACUUAUGUGAUUUUGAGAGGAGGACUCUGGUAAAAAACUUUGAGAGAAAAGUUGAAAGGUUUUUUUCUUUAACUUCUAAUUUUUGUCCUCUGAAUACUUUUGUUGGAAGAGUUUGUCUCAAAGGUUCAGAAAAACACAUAGAUUUUAAUUUCUGACUUUGGUUUUUGAGUGCAAAAAGAGAUACAAAUAAGUUUAGGUCAUUCGACUGGUGGUGAAAUUUAAGUUCGUCGACUUCAAUUUUCUACUAUUGUCUUGCUGAUCCACUACUGAACCUCACUAGGAUUUUUGGAAUCCGAAGGUGUAUUCGCUGCUUCUUCUAUAAUUGUUAUAAAAGAAGUUUGAAAGUUCAGGUUCAAUCUCUUUUUCUUUUGCAUUUCUAUUUUAUUUAAGUGUUCUUGAAUUGUAGAUUCCGUCCAAAAUGGUUUGUUUUGUUAUGUGAUCGAACUUCAUGAAGGAGUAGAGUUUGGGUUCAUCAUUUAAUCAUGAUUCCUAGUCAAAAUGAUUUUUGGUGCAUUAUUCUCGCUGAUGAGUCUCUUCUUGAUGGUGUGAUGUAUUUGAGUAUGUUCACUUAGUUGAAGUUGUUAUUGAGUGGUCGUUUUCUAUACUUAUAUUGUUUAACUGUUAUCAUGAUGUCGAGUUUUCGUUUGAGUCCAGAUCUCGUCGAUUUCAAAUAGUUGUUACAGUUUGUUUAGUCUGUCAGUGUGAAACUGCUCUUUUCUGUUAAAACUUGGAAGAUGAAUCAUAGGAUUGCUUGAUUUUGAACAUGAUAGUGUGAGUGUGAAACAUUGCAUUUGAGCUGGUAUUAGUUUCUGUCUAAAUAGGCUCUCACGAGGAAAAUGCUAGAGUCCUCUGUUUAUUAGUGAAGGUAUGCCGAAGUUUAUCUUCUUUGUUUAAUGGGUAUAAUGGGUUCAUCCUUCUUCUGUUUACUCCGUACCACUGCAUGAGGUAUGUCCGAGUGGGUAGUUCUGUCAUUUGUGCCAUUUUUGAGUUAUUUUGUAGAAAAACUGGCGUGGUUGUGUUAUUUUGGUUUAAAGGGAUGAUCAAUUUUUCUUUUGUGGAAUGUUGUUCAUUGUCUAUUUCCGAGCUGAUAGAUAGGAACUAAAAUUACGUGCUUGUUUAUGAGUUUCUUCUGUUGUAGGAAUCUGAAAAAACCACCUUCAUCACAUGUUAGGAGUGAGUUAAUGGUUGGCGCAUGCUGUGCCAACUGAUUUUCAGAAACUCAAAUGUGGAUUUCAAAAUAAGUAUCAUUACUGUUAGGAUCUCUUUCUUUAUUAAAAUGACUUGAAGCAUGUUUAGUAUGCAUUUGUGUUGAAUCAUUUCAUUUUUUAAAACUAUAAGGAUGGGAAUGGUCUUUGUUCUAACUGAUGGGCUGUGGUGCAUUUUGGAUCAGCCUGCCGUCUGAAGUUGUUGUCAGUGUUUUGAAAAGCGGUCGCUUCGUCGCUUAAAG